rnacentral:rRNA from 1 species
AACGAACGCUGGCGGCAGGCUUAACACAUGCAAGUCGAACGGAUCCUUCGGGAUUAGUGGCAGACGGGUGAGUAACGCGUGGGAACGUACCCUUUGCUACGGAAUAACUCAGGGAAACUUGAGCUAAUACCGUAUGUGCCCUACGGGGGAAAGAUUUAUCGGCAAAGGAUCGGCCCGCGUUGGAUUAGCUAGUUGGUGGGGUAAUGGCCUACCAAGGCGACGAUCCAUAGCUGGUCUGAGAGGAUGAUCAGCCACACUGGGACUGAGACACGGCCCAGACUCCUACGGGAGGCAGCAGUGGGGAAUAUUGGACAAUGGGCGCAAGCCUGAUCCAGCCAUGCCGCGUGAGUGAUGAAGGUCUUAGGAUUGUAAAGCUCUUUCACCGGUGAAGAUAGUGACGGUAGCCGGAGAAGAAGCCCCGGCUAACUUCGUG